rnacentral:rRNA from 1 species
GGGCGUAAAGCGCGUCUAGGCGGUUUAGUAAGUCUGAUGUGAAAAUGCGGGGCUCAACCCCGUAUUGCGUUGGAAACUGCNAAACUAGAGUACUGGAGAGGUAGGCGGAACUACAAGUGUAGAGGUGAAAUUCGUAGAUAUUUGUAGGAAUGCCGAUGGGGAAGCCAGCCUACUGGACAGAUACUGACGCUAAAGCGCGAAAGCGUGGGUAGCAAACAGGAUUAGAUACCCUGGUAGUCCACGCCGUAAACGAUGAUUACUAGGUGUUGGGGGUCGAACCUCAGCGCCCAAGCUAACGCGAUAAGUAAUCCGCCUGGGGAGUACGUACGCAAGUAUGAAACUCAAAGGAAUUGACGGGGACCCGCACAAGCGGUGGAGCAUGUGGUUUAAUUCGACGCAACGCGAGGAACCUUACCAGCGUUUGACAUCCCAAGAAGUUAACAGAGAUGUUUUCGUGCCUCUUCGGAGGAACUUGGUGACAGGUGGUGCAUGGCUGUCGUC